CCACAACGGAUCCUUUAAACAGUUUAAAGUGACAAUUGGUGUAAAAUAAAUACUUUGAAACACAUACGACUAAAGCAUUCCAACUAUUCGACUACCGACAGUCAGCAGACUUCAUCCCCAGCAAUUCUGAAGCAACUGCAUAAGAACUAAAAAAUUACAGUCACACAAAAAAGGAGGGAUGAAUCGCAGGCCCACAGAAGAGUAUCAAAGUCUUGCAAAAGAUCGAGCUACAAGACUCAAACAGAUGGUAAAAUCCCUCAAGGACGAGGCCUUGUAGGGCAUGUAAAAAGACAAAAACUGAAAGUGAUGACUGCAGAGUUUUUUUUCAUCUGAGGAGUCUGAGAAAGCACUUCAUUGUGAGACGUCUACCCGUGCCUCAUUCAGUGCCUUCAAGGACAACAUUGAGAAAGCUCAAGUGAAAAAGCUAACACCUUAACACAAGAGGCGGAUGAAGAAGUGUGUGGUCUUGUAGAUUCCGGUAUCAAAGAGACCUUUACCAGAAAACUGCUCCAAUUUGUGAGGAGUGAGGAAGAGAGGGAUUGACAAUGUGAAACUUUAAUUACACUGAGUAAAUUUUACUUAUACGAUU